CCUACGGGUGGCUGCAGUGAGGAAUAUUGGUCAAUGGACGCAAGUCUGAACCAGCCAUGCCGCGUGCAGGAAGACGGCUCUAUGAGUUGUAAACUGCUUUUGUACGAGGGUAAACGCAGAUACGCGUAUCUGUCUGAAAGUAUCGUACGAAUAAGGAUCGGCUAACUCCGUGCCAGCAGCCGCGGUAAUACGGAGGAUUCAAGCGUUGUCCGGAUUUACUGGGUGUAAAGGGCGUGCAGCCGGGAAGACAAGUCAGAUGUGAAAUCCCGCGGCUCAACCGCGGAACUGCAUUUGAAACUGUUGUUCUUGAGUACCGGAGAGGUCAUCGGAAUUCCUUGUGUAGCGGUGAAAUGCGUAGAUAUAAGGAAGAACACCAGUGGCGAAGGCGGAUGACUGGACGGCAACUGACGGUGAGGCGCGAAAGCGUGGGGAGCAAACAGGAUUAGAUACCCUUGUAGUC
rnacentral:rRNA from 1 species